GGAGGAAGGUUUUGAGUCCGUCGGCGUCAGGAGUGAACGGACUGGCGGCGAUGCGUUAACACAGUAGCGAAGUCGAACGGGAAGGUUGGUGGUUUCCGUAGUGGGCGAACGGGUGGAGUAACGCGUAAGGAACCUAGCCCUUCGGGAGGGGAACGAACAAACUGGAAACGGUUAGCUAAUACCCCGUAGGCUGAGGAGCAAAAGGAGAAAUCGCCCAGGAGGGGCUCGCGUCUGAUUAGCUAGUUGGUGAGGUAAUAGCUUACCAAGGCGAUGAUCAGUAGCUGGUCCGAGAGGAUGAUCAGCCAUACUGGGACUGAGACACGGCCCAGACUCCUACGGGAGGCAGCAGUGGGGAAUUUUCCGCAAUGGGCGAAAGCCUGACGGAGCAAUGCCGCGUGGAGGUGGAAGGCCUACGGGCCGUCAACUUCUUUUCUCGGAGAAGAAACAAUGACGGUAUCUGAGGAAUAAGCAUCGGCUAACUCUGUG
rnacentral:rRNA from 1 species